AGCGUUUCGGCCUUUGAGCCCUUGUUUCUGGGGUCGAAGAGCUCCAAGGAAAAGGCGAGAGACACGCAGAGGAACUCUAUUAAGGAAAACGUGAGCACAGCACAUUCCACAGGAUAAGUGUUGGAGGGAAGAGCCACAGUGCCCAUGAUGCCUGUCUUCUUCAGGGUUUCUGUAGCUCCAGCAUACGUGUACUUCCAUUACACAGUCAAGGCCAGUGCAUUGGCAUGGUCUUGCUUCAUUAGAACAAUGACUAAGACAUGGAUCAGUACUCACAGAGCAAAGCCCAUCAGCUGAGACCAGGGUCCACAAUCAGCUGAAGCUCUGAAUCGUCAGGAUGAGCGGAUGCGGGCAACCCUGACGCCACCAGAUGGAGGUAGAGAACAAGGAGUGGCUCCCAGGCUGCUCUCAAACCGCGGAGAUGGCUUCAGUUCAGAGCAAAAUCAUUUUCAUCUGUAAGAACACCGCAAUGAGGAUUGUUUCAACAUCAGCGUUUUCACGAUAAUAGCAGCUGAUCGCCCACUGUGUGAAAAGUCUGGUGUAAAGGGGAGUAGGGGUGGAAAGAAAGUAAGAAUGUGUUUUUGGCCCUUGAGGAAUUCAGAGUAAAGCUGAAUUUAAUAAGUCAA